GCCUAAUAUUAACCCUAGAUUUAAUAGAUCAGAAAUCGUAUCCCACGCACAGUAGAUCUAAAAGCUUCCUUCACGCAUAAAUCGUCUCACCGCCAGAUCUUCGAACACUUACAAACCCUAGUCUAACGCCAACACCAGCCGUGCUUCUUCCUCUUCCUCAACACUCACAAAUCGUCUCCCUUUCUUCCUCGUAAAAUCGCCGGCAGUGCUUCUUCGAUUGCUCCAUCAAGCUCUCAAUCGGCGGGGAAAUCCGAUAACAAGAAUGCACAGCAGCAGCGGCGACCUAUCGACGACGCACCACACCGCGACAAGCCUUCACCGCUGAUCUGCUGACGCCUCCGCCCCUGCUUCAGACACCCACGACCGCCGCUCCACCGAAGAAGAGGAAAGCUCAGAGAAGAUAUACAGUUGGAAGGGACAUGGAGAGAUACUAUGUCAUUUUGGAACAGUUGAAAGAUUAUUAUUGUCAAUGUGGAGCAAUAAUAUUGGAUGGGUCCUCUCAUAAUGAAGUCCGGCAUUCGGCAAGUAUUAAUUUUAAGAACUUCACUACCAAGAAUUGGUCUCCUCACGAUCCAGGAGAGCAAUAAAAAAAUCUGCCUGGUGAUAAGGAAUUGGUUAGGCAAAAUAUUCUUGUCCAUGGGCAGCUGAAGCAACUUCACUGGAGAGUUCUACUUUGUGGAGUACUGAUGAGAAAACUUUUGAGACAUGGAUAUGCCCACUUGUGCAUGCUCUAAUUGGAUAUUGCAAUGAUACUAUUAUAAGAUUAUGUCAAGAAAUUGUGUUGGUGAAAUCUGAAGUUGCAGAACUUCUAUUUCCUGAAGUGAUUUCCAACCUAUCAAGGUGCAGGAAAAUAUUUUUACUGGGAGCAACAAGCUGACUAAAUCAAUUCAAGUUGUACUAGAAGCACUUAAUGUUCUUCGGUUGUGCCAUGUAACUGAACGAGCAAUUUCGUCUUCUACUGCACAUAAGCAGGAAAAUUUGAAGCAAUACUCAAGGCCCUCAAGUUAUGGAUCAAGAUCCCGCUCUGCAAUAGUUAAGGUAAAGGAUCAGCCAACAACGUCAUCUGGAUCUGCAUUCUCCACAUUGCUUUGGGAUAAGGUGUAUUGGCUUCCCAUAGACUAUCUGGUUGUUGCCAAGUUUGCAAUUACUUCUGGUGCUUACUUUAGUGCACUUUUGUAUGUGGAAUACUGGUGCAAGGAAAGAUUUAGCAGCCUUACCUUGGGGAAUCCAGACUUCUCCCAUCUUGAAAUACUUCCAGAACACAUUGAGAUACUAGUCUCUGCAGUUACACAAAUAAAUGAGCCUGACAGCCUCUAUGGCAUCAUCCAAUGUAAUAAGUUGUUCUUCUUGGAGGAUCAGUUUGGGAGCUCUCUUUCUGGUGCAAGACAUAUUUCUGAUACAAUUAUUUGUUGUAAUUUCAUUCUUUUCUUUUGUAGAUUUCAAUUAUUUUUAAUUUAGAAUUGUAAAUAUGUAAUUUCAUUUAUUGUUUUUUACAAUACUGUAGUAAUUUCAUAAUGGUUGUGUGAGAA